GAUGGAAUGCGACAGUGUCACAGGAGGAACGAAUGAUAAACGCACGGAGAACUGUGUGGUAACGAUGGUGCACAGGGAGAAGAUGACAGAAAGAGAGCCUAGUGAUACGAAGGCGAUGGGACUGAAUGGCGAGUGCAUGCAAGGCCACAGGACACAGUGGCAGAGUGAGCUAAUAACUGCAUCCGAGAAGAUGUGUUCACUAGCAGACACCCAGUGCCAGGGGCUCCCCGUCACAGCCUGAGACUUGGGCACAAAGUUGACGCACACUCCAGAAAUCACCCAAGGUUAGAUUAAAAAUAAGAACACCCAUGAAGAUCACCUGACUCAUUAUCAUCACUGUCCAGUGGGAGACAAUUCCUCAAAGGGUGAGCCUCGGGGCUGGGUUUUGUUCUAGACCUAAG
rnacentral:lncRNA from 1 species